CCUACGGGUGGCUGCAGUGAGGAAUAUUGGUCAAUGGGCGGAAGCCUGAACCAGCCAAGUCGCGUGAGGGAAUAAGGCCCUACGGGUCGUAAACCUCUUUUGCCGGGGAGCAAGGGCCGGGACGAGUCCAGGUCCGGAGAGUACCCGGAGAAAAAGCAUCGGUUAACUCCGUGCCAGCAGCCGCGGUAAUACGGAGGAUGCGAGCGUUAUCCGGAUUCAUUGGGUUUAAGGGGUGGGUAGGCGGGUUUUAAAGUCAGCGGUAAAAAUUCGGGGCUCAACCCCGUCCGGCCGUUGAAACUGGGAGCCUUGAGUGGGCGAGAAGAAGGCGGAAUGCGUGGUGUAGCGGUGAAAUGCAUAGAUAUCACGCAGAACCCCGAUUGCGAAGGCAGCCUUCCGGCGCCCUACUGACGCUGAGGCACGAAAGUGCGGGGAUCGAACAGGAUUAGAUACCCGGGUAGUC
rnacentral:rRNA from 1 species